CUGGGAUGCUCAGGAUGUGUUGUUCCCAGGUGACCAUGGCCAGUGACCCAACAAGAGCACUGAUGGAUGAGGAAUAUGGCAGAGGUCAACAGUAUCUGGAAGAGAGUGUUAGAUACAAGAUUACAUUGGAAACAGAACAUAAUGGCAGUUAUCCAAACAGAGACAAGAACAGCAUCUGGAAACUUGAAAAGCACUGUAACUUUGGCUGAGUGUAAAGCAAUAGUCCACCAGUGGCUAGGAAUGGUCCUGCUUUGAUCAUCUGGAAUGAUUUUUUUUUUACCUACUGACUAAAUAAAGAAAUGCUCAUAUUUAC
rnacentral:lncRNA from 1 species